GAUGAAGAACGUAGCGAAAUGCGAUAAGUAAUGUGAAUUGCAGAAUUCAGUGAAUCAUCGAAUCUUUGAACGCACAUUGCGCCCGCCAGUAUUCUGGCGGGCAUGCCUGUUCGAGCGUCAUUUCAACCAUCAAGCCCCAGGCUUGUGUUGGGGACCUGCGGCUGCCGCAGGCCCUGAAAACCAGUGGCGGGCUCGCUGUCACACCGGGCGUAGUAGAUUUUAUCUCGCUCAGGGCGUGCUGCGGGUUCCGGCCGUUAAAAAGCCUUUUUUACCCAAGGUUGACCUCGGAUCAGGUAGGAUGACCCGCUGAACUUAAGCAUAUCAAUAAGCGGAGGA
rnacentral:misc_RNA from 1 species